GGUUUUACUUAUACUGGAUAUGUAAUGUUGAAUUUAGAAUCUAGGCUUUAUUUUAUGAACCAGUAUCCCCAUCUUCGGAGUCUCAUACUAUUUUUUAUCUUUUCAAAUUACAUUCUUCUAGUGAUUUAGAGUCCCUGUGCAUUCAACGGCCACUCUUCUUACAGCAACAAUGUUCAAUUUAAAGUUAGAUUAACUUCUGAUAUUAUAACAUAUACGACAUUGUAAUGAUAUUGAAUAGAAGGCAUAUUUUUAUUCACCUACAUAUUCAGUAAAACAUAAAGUUGAAAUUUUAAGU
rnacentral:lncRNA from 1 species